rnacentral:rRNA from 1 species
AGUGAACGCUGGCGGUAGGCCUAACACAUGCAAGUCGAACGGCAGCACAGUAAGAGCUUGCUCUUACGGGUGGCGAGUGGCGGACGGGUGAGGAAUACAUCGGAAUCUACUUUUUCGUGGGGGAUAACGUAGGGAAACUUACGCUAAUACCGCAUACGACCUACGGGUGAAAGCAGGGGAUCUUCGGACCUUGCGCGAUUGAACGAGCCGAUGUCGGAUUAGCUAGUUGGCGGGGUAAAGGCCCACCAAGGCGACGAUCCGUAGCUGGUCUGAGAGGAUGAUCAGCCACACUGGAACUGAGACACGGUCCAGACUCCUACGGGAGGCAGCAGUGGGGAAUAUUGGACAAUGGGCGCAAGCCUGAUCCAGCCAUACCGCGUGGGUGAAGAAGGCCUUCGGGUUGUAAAGCCCUUUUGUUGGGAAAGAAAAGCAGCGGGUUAAUACCCCGCUGUUCUGACGGUACCCAAAGAAUAAGCACCGGCUAACUUCGUG